ensembl:lncRNA
AACGAGCUACAAAACAAAACACAAAACAUCCUUCACCCAGUUCUAAUAAAAUAAUUGCUUAUCACAGUUGUGCCCCAGGGUUCAGACUCUCCAGCAGUUACUGAGUAUAAAAAGAGGGAAAGUGGGAAAGAUAAGGUUGGAGGGGAACUGUAACCCAAUAACCCAGACAUUCUGCAGGCAGUAUAUGCUGAAGUAUUAUCAUAGUAAUUGACAUCACAAAUGCUCCAAGCUAAAUGUAUUGAUAGUCAAGGUCAGCAUUUUAGGCAACAACAGCAGGUGUCCUCAUCCAUUAGCUCUGAAAUAUUGAUUUCAGUCAGAAAAAUAAAAACCAGAAAAGGGGAAAUACUUGAGCAAUAAAAUGAUCUUUCUUUAUCUUUGUCUACCAGACAUAGGAACAGAUACCCUGUUCAGGGUGCAUCAGCAUUUAUAGGAUUGCUGAAAAUGCACAUGGAUUUCCCAUUCCUCAUCUUAUUCAACACGUAUUUGUAUUUAAAGAAGACCAUUUGUAUUUAAAAGAAGACUACGUCAAAAGCAGACACCAGAAUAGAUAGCUGCAUCACUUUGGCUUUGUCUUGCUCACAGAGAAGGGUGUAUCUCAAAACUGCAAGUUCUUUUGCUAAUAUCGAAACCUGACAAUAUUCUGGAACUUGGACUUCAUCUACUCUCAGCACAGCAUCACUGGCAAAAUCUGUCCACGCUCCAGUCUUCUUCUGAACACCUGCAAUUCAUGUCCUAACAAACUGUACCCACAAAUUUGCCAGGAACCCCUCUGUUCCAUGAAUCUCACCAGCAAGAAGACAGAUUAAAUCUUUUUUUCAAAACUGGGGAAGAAAAGCAAGAUAUUCUGCAAAGAAAGGCUCAGACCUUUUAAAAAAGGUCUUAAACUCUGUGAUACUAAAUAGCUCAUCUACUGCUGGGGAGCCUGGCUCCAGGAGCAGAAACCUCAAUCUUGAGUCAGUUAUUUAUUGUUUUACACAACGUGAGAAACAUGAAAUGACCAGAAAUGUGACUCAGUUGUAAAGACUGUGUUAACUGUUUUAAAUUAGAUUUCCUUUUUCAAAAAAAAAACUUCUUUGCAUGUUGGUGCAAGGAAAAGACAAAGCUGUCUUAUUUCUAAUGGAGCAGAUGCAAAUCCCACCUGGGAAUGCAUGAAACCGAGUACUUCUGAACAUCACAAAGGAGGCAGAUCUUUAAUUUAAUCAACUGGGAAGACCUCAGCACAGAAUUUUAGCAGCAGCCUUGUUGCCUCAUAUGACCCACUUAAUUGCAUGAUAUGUCUCAGGGUUAGAGUGGCAGCUCACAAACCUGUGCCACUCAUGAGAUGUCUGCUAGUGUCAUACACCUAUGUACUUGAAGUUUUUGCCACGUUAAAGGCAACUUACUAUCUGUCAGAGAUAGAAGGCAGUGAACACAACCUUUCAGGUCUCUUUAUGGUUGUGUUGAACAAGAUGUCUGGCACACCCUCCCUGUAGCAGGACACACUGAAACAAAGCAUAUUGGUGGAGGUAUGAAGUUAUUGCAAAGGUCUGAAGAUUGCACAGUUCAUAAAACUAUAAAAAAAAAAUGUAUAGGACUGAAGCAAG